AACACAAGCAGAGGAGGAGGAGGGAGUACGGGAAGGAGAGUACCAAAAGCGAGUAUUUCCAGAACUGGUUGCAGAUCCUUUGAAAAUGGAGAAAGCCACACUGCAGAACCUAAUGCACAACCCAGUUACCAACCAAAGGGUCACUGUAAGGAUGGUGAAAACGAUUCUCUUCCUAAUGUGAGAGAACCUGGAAGAAAGCCUCAUUCCCAUUCUUCAGAGCCACGAAGAUCAGCGUAUGUAGUCUACCGAACUGUCACAGUCACCCAAGAACCCAAGUUUAGCCGACCUAGAGGUGGGUUCCUGCUUAAA